rnacentral:rRNA from 1 species
UACAACUUUCAGCAACGGAUCUCUUGGCUCUCGCAUCGAUGAAGAACGCAGCGAAUUGCGAUAAGUAAU